rnacentral:tRNA from 1 species
GGGCGCAUGGUUUAGUGGUAUAAUUCCUCUUUAGCAUCUAGAUGCCUAAGUUAGAGGCGGUCCCUGGUUCGAUUCCUGGUGUGUCCA